UGGGCGCGGGGCAGGGAGAUGAGGGGGUCUGUCUGAGUGGCAUUUUUAGCUUACAACCUGCCACGCAGAUUCUCCGGGGCGAGAGGGGAGGGGUGUGCGGGGAGGGCGGGGAAGCCUUGAUUUCUCCGCACGUUCGUGCUCGCAUCCCCGAUCUUUUCCCGCUUCCUCUCGGGGCUCACCUGUUUAUUUCCAUCAACCAGAGCUUGCAGUUGUUUUUUGUGUGUGUAGGCAUGAGAGGCUGUUCCUUUUAUUAGAAGCAUUAUUGGGGAAGGAGGGGUGCGUGGCUGUAAUUUAUGCCGGUCUCGGUCGCUUUUCAAGAAGGGGGAGGGGACUUGGCGAAGAUCGCCUGCUCCCGGCCGUAGCUGACCCCAUGGGCGUAACCCCUGCCUUACCCCUUCCGAAGAAUCUUUUCCCUCAGCUACCCGCAGGCCAGCUGCCACCUUCUUGGAGAAGGACCACACCUGUGCUUAUUCCUCGCUUUGGAGGAGAGGUGAGCUGAAAAACCCACCAGCUUUCCGAAAGCUGUUAACCAGCCCUCCCGUCCCAGAAUUGGCCAGAAAGUGCUGCUUUCACCUGCCGAUUGCGCUGGCCACAUCCAUCCCCCCACCCACCCCUGCAAGUUGUCUACAGAUGUAUCGGGAUUUUUUUCUUGCCUCUGGACCUGCAGCUCACAACCAGCAACUAACUGCUGGGUUUAGACAGAAAGAAGUGAUCUCCUUGGGUUUAGUGUGCGUUCUUCGUUCCCCAGUGGGUCUUAGGAUGGAAUCUGCCCCCUCUAUUCUUUCGCUACGAGCUUAGUCUAGAAUCUGGCCUGAGUAACCAGUUUCUGGCUCUCUUUCUCUGGGCCCCACCCUGGCCCCUCUUGGUUCUCCGGAGCCAAAUACGCCUCCCAAGCAGAAGGCACACCCUGCCCUAAAUCUAACCAUUCCAAAAGGGAGGAGGAAACAGUGGAAGAGAAGGGACCCAGGGGUCUUCUUUCUGUCCUGAGUAUCCCCAACAGCAGUUUCCUCUUCAACCCUCCAGCAUUUAUAAUCUCUUUAUUCUUCUUAUUAGCUGCUCCCCAUUUUUGCCUAUAGUCCUAUGAUAGAUAUUUAGGUGGGGAUGGAGGUGUGGAAAAAGAGAUGUCACCCCUUUUCCCUCGUGUGAGACAUUUUCAUUCUCAGUCUUUCCAUUUUUGAGAUGCUUAACAAUUAAAAUAUGUAAAUAUGUUUGCACGCUUAUUUGAACUUGUUUUCUUGCUGGCUAAUGAAUAGCUGGGACUCAGAAAGGAGGGGGAGAAAGCGAUGAGAGGUGUACAUUCUCCCUUAGGUCCCCUUUAUGAGCAUCCUCCAGAGUUGCUGGAGGAGACCCUUCAAUGAAAGCCAGCAGUCUCCCUUCCAUGACAUCACCACCUAAGCCCUUCCAACUUUAGCUUCAGAACAGGAAGAAGGCUCAAAAUAGAACUACCUUAGGAAUCCAGCUCCUUUUAGAAGAUCAACUUUUAAGUCAGCUUCAGGAGAAACAGUGAACUUUGACACGCGGAGAGAAAGCUGCAGUGUUUGUAAUUGGUUCCUUUGGGGAAGGGUCUGGCGAUACUUUCCAUGUGUAUUCAGAAAAGCUUUUCCCAAGAUAAGUUGAGUACCUAAGCUGAUGAAUGAUUAAUUGAAUAGUUUGAGAUAUGUUUAUUGAAUUAUUCAUGUGUUUCAGUAUGUCAACAGUAACAAGUACUUUUUGGAAUGAAUUAAAGAGGGGCUCCUAGAAUGUGUUUCAGGGAUUUUGCUGGAGAGAGAGGAGGUUGGUGGGGGGUAGGAGGGAACACUUGAAGGAAAGGAAUCUGAGGAUGCAGUGACAGCUGCGUUGAGUAUGGAAGUUGAGAGGCUUACUAUAAACAACGCCUGUAACUUUUACAGGGUGACUAAUAUCCUGGACAAAGAAAUAAUGAUGGCAGGAUUUUCCACCUUUACCUUGAAAGUUAACUUGGUAUCUUUGAAUCAUGAUGUUUCCAUUUUUAUUUUUCCCUGAAUUCUCAGAGCUGAAAGAGUUGUUCAUUCUUUAAAAGGGGCUUCUUAAUAAGUGAUCAUCAAUGGCGUAUUAACAAAGAUUAGGAGGGCAGAAAAUACCUGACAUCAUUUGAGUAACCAGUGAGUGCUGUAGAGUGACUUGCUGCGUGAAGGGUUCUGAUUUUAAAAAAUCCGGGUGACAGGAUCUUCUGUACCUGUAGUAGUGCAGUAGCCACUACUAUGUGUGGCUGUCAAGCACCUGAAAUCUGGCUAGGAUGAUAAGGAACUGGUUUUUAAAUUAAAAAUUGGUGUUCAGUUUUUUGGAAAAGUUCAUUAUGUUUGGAAGUUGGGCAUAUGUGUCUACUUUUUAAGCUGUGAAUUUUAUGAAAUCUACAGAUUAUUUCUGAUGAAAUUUUAGUGUUUGAAUUGAGAUGUGUUAAGUGUAAAUAUGCCCUGGAUUUCUAAGACUUAGUACAAAAAAGUAAAAUGUCUCAUUAAUAAUGUUUAUAUCGUUUACAUGUUCCAAUGAAAAUAUUUUGGGUGUAUUGUGUUAAGAGAAUAUGUUGUUAAUGUCAUUUAACCUGUUUAUAGUUUAGUUUUUUUUUUUUUUUUUUUUUUUUUAAUGUGACUACUGGAGUAUCUAAGGUUGCAAACGUGACUUGCUUUUUGCUUAUCUGGGACAGCACUGGUCCAUGAUAUCACUCCUUUUUUUCUUGGUUUUAAUUUCCAAAGAGGUGACUGCAGGAAAUACAGUUAUUUCAUGUUUGUCAACCAUUUACUUUGCCCUGCUAUUUUCCAUGUGGAUUUGGGGACCCCCAAGAGUUACUAUUACAGUACAAGAAAGUGUUAAAUAGUACAAGUACAGUAUAAUAGUGACGGCCCUGCAGAUUUCUCUGCAGGAGGCAUGCCCCGCUCAGGAAGGUCGGUAAAAAUGUCCAAGGUAUUGGAAGGGCUGGUUAGGGGUAUCAUGAGAAAAUUUAGAGACCCACAUAUCGGGCCAGACCUGCUUUUGUAAAAGGCUUCUGGGAAUACCAGACUAUACCAGGGAAGCGUGUGUGGCACUUGGUGGUACAGUUGUGGCACCUGGUGACAUCUUAGUGAUGCCACGCACUUUUUUAAAAUUUUCUCUUUCUCUGCUUUCACUUUCUGCCCCCACAUCAUAGCUCCACCGGUGGGAAUCAAGCUCACAAAGUUGCUGACCCCUUUUCUCAAAAAAAAUAUAAUGUUGACCUGAAUGGAAUGUUGGUAUCUUUGGAGUUUGGUUUUAUCUAUUGAGAUUCAGUAAAGACACUGGAAGGGACUUGGGCGUUUAGUACUAUCCCCUCCUUUUACAGAUGACAAACUUUGAAGUACCUUGCCUGUUGACACAUAGACUGAGGAAUUCAGUAUAUACUUUUGUUGAUAACCUAUUUAGAGAAUCCCUGAGAAAUGAAGAAGUUUGUCCGUGAAUCAGUCAAAUAUUUGUUGAGCUUGCACUUUGUGGGAAGGACUGUGAUUAAUUUUGUGAAGGGACAUGAAGAGAACAGUCUGACUUCAGGAACAGGGCGGUAGACUUGAGGAAAUCAGAUGUAAACAGAACCAAAGUAAAUCGCAGUUUAAGAUCCAGCACAUCAUAAUGAGUGCAGUACCCCUGUGUUACAAGUAGAAAUGUGUUCCUUUUCCGUGUGUUACAGGUAGAAAUGUGUUCCUUUUCCAGAUGUAGGAAUAGAAGCUCUGAGUGGUGGACUCUGCAGAAGAGAGGACUGUGCUUGUGUUUCUGCACCAGCCCAAGGCUCUAGAAGUGGAGAGACUCCAUCAGAGUGGUAACAGCAGAAGGACGGUGCUGCAGCGGUCUCUGGGAAAAAAGGGCCGAUUAAAGGGAGCUUGUGGAUCUCCUCGACUUGCAGGCUCUGUGGAGGGAGCACACUUCAUAAAUCCUGCUGGACUGCUUUUUGGCUACAUCCUCAGAUUUGUACGAAGAACUGUUUUGAGUGAAUCAGUGUGUCUUUGUUUGCAUCUUCUGGAAUCCUGAAGACUGAGCCAAGGAGUUAGCAAGGCUGAGCCCUGUACUGAGCAUUUAAUCAGUUGAACACUUCCUUAUGUUUCCCUGGCUUGUGCUCAUAACAAGUGACCUUCGUCCAACUCCUCGCAACACACGAUUGUGGAAUGUUCUCUCCUGAGGAACAUGCUUUGUUUUUUUCAUUGUGAACACACUGAAAAUCUCUGAAAAUUCAAAUGAGUUUGGACAGUGGUAAUAAUGUAAGCUAAUUGUACCUGCUGUGUGCCCAGUAUUCUACAUAUGUAUUAUGUUUUGCAUAUGUAUGCAGUUAGUGUUUACAUGCUAACUGUUCCAACAGCCCUGGUCAAAUGGGGGUGGGGGCAGGGGAACUAAGGCUUAGAAAAAUGUGGUCACUUACCUGAGUUAACUUGUUCAAGCCUCAGCUUCUGCAUCCUUAUAUUUCCUGCGGCUUCAUGUCAGCAUCCUUGUACAAGUGAGGCAGUGCUAGAACCCCAAAGUCAUAAUAUUUUCAUUGAUUCCUUUCUUCUACCUGUAAACACUGUUGGGACCUUUUGGUUUUGAUUUUGAAUACACAUUACCUAUUCAAUAAUUCAGGAGUGGAAUGAUGCACAUGUAAUUCUAAGUCCUGAGAAUUCAGAAGCCCCCACGGUAAUAAUAAGCUAACAUUGAUUAAAGACUUUCUGCAUCACCUGUCCAUGCAGUAAUUUUUACCCUCAUUCUCUUACUUAAUCCUUUAACAGAAACCACCUCCUUCUCUCUAUCCCUAUGUCUGCUUUCUUUUGUUUUUUAAAUUUUAAAAUAAAAAGAAAUGUUUUUUUAAAAUCUC